GAAUCUGGAGCCGAAGAGGCAGGAUCGCCAAACGGACCCGUUUUGGAGGUCACAGCUCCUCUGGGCGCGGCUUAGUGGCGGAGCUUGCGGUGAGGGGAGGGUCUUCCACUUGUCGCCAGCGUGAACUCUGGUGCCCCGUGAGUGUUCGGAAUGGACCCCCAAAUCUGCCCCCGCCAGGUCGCACUCGACUCUGUUUCGACGACUUUUUUUGUAUCACUUUCUCUUCCUUUUUGCCUUGGGGUCCCUUUGGUCCCUCCCUUUCUCUUCGCUCUCAGAAAUCCGAGUUUCGCAGAUGCUUAGCUCAGAGGAGAAAAUUGUGUGCGGAAUCAAGUCCUUCCUUCUGUUAGGCAGUUGGAUGGGAGGGACCAAAAAUCACUUGGUGUCCUGACAAGAUUUGUUACUGUUGCUAAGAUCGUCAGCUCUAAUGCUUUGAGGGAGAUAACUUCCUGCAAACCCAGAACUUUCGGAUUUCUUCCGAGCUUGAAGCUUCUUCACUUACCACACCAGAAGAAACCUUGCAUGUGUGCAUUCAACAUGUCCAAGCUUACGUCCACAUCCUUCACUUCCUGCAAAUAGUGAUGUCUAAUCAGCACAGCUCUGUCUGCCCCCUGAUCUGGGCACACAUGGUCCCCUGAUCUCAUGGACUCCUUACACUUUGCAAUUGGAGGAAGAUCCUUCCAGAUCACGCCACAUGAAGAUGGAGGCAGAUGUUGGACUGAUGCUUCUACAAGCCAGAGAACUCCAAGGUGGCCAGCAUAUCAUCAGAAGCUAUGGGAGAAGCAUGAAACAGAUCUUUCCCUCACUGCCCUCAGAAGGAACAGGUGGUGCUGACACCUUGAUCUCGGAUUCUAGCCUCCAAAACUUUAACAAUUUACACUAGUUCUAAAACUCAUCUCAACCUGGAACUCACAGGGUAUGCCUUUGUGGAACAUAAGGAAAUUCUGCCAUUUGACUCUACUGCAUGUAUAAGAAAAAGGAAUUGAGAAGCUUGAUGUGGAGAUAGCCUAAAAGUGAAAGAAGGAGAAGUAUUCAAGGAGGAAAGAAGUAGAGGAAGAAACAACACAUCAUUUCAAUCUGCAAAAGGUAUAGGAAAGACGAAGAAUACAAGCCCUAGAAACUGGUUUGAACUCCAGCAGUGAUUUCAACAAAAGAACAAAGUGACCAAAAUAACAAAAGACCAGUGAUGUACUUUCAUCUUCUAAGGAACUAACAGAACCUGGAGAACGAAAACCUUCACAUCAAAUUGGAUUCAUGAGCUGUAUACACUGGGCAACGAUGACAGCACAAGAAAUAAUUUCAACUAACUUAUGCCAACACUUGAAAAUGGUAUUUUAGGAAAGUGAGUACAAUAUGUAGAAUGGAUUGGGUGAGGCAAGAAACUAGAGGCAAGAAGAGAACAGCUAUUGCUGUAAUCACUCUUAAAUCACCCACAAGUUACAAGGAUAUUGUUAUUUUUGCAGAAACGCCAGUGACAUGUGGAUAAUGAAAUACAACCACAGUUGUAUAAGUACAUCUUUAUGCAUAUAAAGGGGAAAAGCAGUUCUCAAGCUCAUCUAAGAGACAAGCUCUUCGGACCAUUUGAAGAAUCCACUUGAAGAAUAAAUCUCUGUCUUACAAUUUUUUUUAAUGUUUAUUUAUUUUUAAGGGGGGGGAGGGGUAGACAGAUGAGGACAGAGGAUCCAAAGCAGUAUCUAUGCCUAUAGCAGUGAGCCCAAUGUGGUGCUUGGAUUCACAAACCGUGAUGAUGACCUGAGCCGUAAGUCAAACACUCAGUGGACUGAGCUACCCAGGCACCCCUCUCUAUCUCAGAAUUUUAAGCUCACUACAAUUUCUGCUCAUGCAAUGGCCACUAAUGCCUAUUAAGUGCCAAGUACUAUAUUAAGCAAGAAGGAUACACAGAUAAUUAAGUCACAGUCACUAGCCCUGGAGGCUUUCAGUCCGGGAAGUCAGAAAUGUAAAUGUUUAUGAAUCUAAUGAACUGAGUGCUAUAGAAACACAGAAGUGUUUAACACAUGAACAAAAAAAUUUAGUCUGUCUAAAUGUUAAGGUCUUACUUUCAGUUUCAAACUGUCAAACCUUUUCCAAACUAAAUGUCAAAUAUUGAAGGGAAAAAAGCUAACGGUAUUCUAAAAGUAAAUACGGACAAACAUUCUUGCGAAUUUAACACUUGUAAUAGGAUGCUGUCUCCAGUGAGCCAUGUCAGGAGAGUUACUUAAAAGUUUACUUCCACUUGCAAAGUUAGAAUACAAGUAUGUUUGGCUACAUACCCAUCAAAGGCUGAAUAAGAAACUGAA